AAACCGCCUAGAGGUAAACGGGUGGAUCCGCAAAGUCGGCCUGCGGAAUUCAGCUCGGAAGGGGCUGGCCUUCAGCGGGGAAGGAGAUCCUAUCGGACUCCCCUCGUGGAGGACCGGCCUCGGCCGUGUGCACUUUCUGCAGGCAGAGCGCCACAACGGGUUCCCCGGCGGUCAGAAGGCGCCCAGCAUGGUAGGUGUUCGCCUCGCGCGAGCUCUGGUAUAGGCUGGGCUGACCCGAUCCGCUGGUGGGACCGAGGAGCCGCCGUCGGCGCUGGCCGCCUCGCUCUCCUGGGGAGUUCGACUGGCAGAGACUGGGCAACCGUGUCUGCCGACCGCUUCCCUGGACGGACGGGGUGGGCCUGCCGGUCUGGGGUUUGUGGCAUUUUGGUCGGCCCUCCACCCGACCCGUCUUGAA
rnacentral:rRNA from 1 species